rnacentral:rRNA from 1 species
AGCGGCGGACGGGUGAGUAACGCGUAGGUAACCUGCCCUGUACACACGGAUAACAUACCGAAAGGUAUGCUAAUACGAGAUAAUAUGCUUUUAUCGCAUGGUAGAAGUAUCAAAGCUUUUGCGGUACAGGAUGGACCCGCGUCUGAUUAGCUAGUUGGUAAGGUAACGGCUUACCAAGGCGACAAUCAGUAGCCGACCUGAGAGGGUGAUCGGCCACAUUGGAACUGAGACACGGUCCAAACUCCUACGGGAGGCAGCAGUGGGGAAUAUUGCACAAUGGGCGAAAGCCUGAUGCAGCAACGCCGCGUGAGCGAUGAAGGCCUUCGGGUCGUAAGGCUCUGUCCUCAAGGAAGAUAAUGACGGUACUUGAGGAGGAAGCCCCAGCUAACUACGUGCCAGCAGCCGCGGUAAUACGUAGGGGGCUAGCGUUAUCCGGAUUUACUGGGCGUAAAGGGUGCGUAGGUGGUUUCUUAAGUCAGAGGUGAAAGGCUACGGCUCAACCGUAGUAAGCCUUUGAAACUGGGAAACUUGAGUGCAGGAGAGGAGAGUGGAAUUCCUAGUGUAGCGGUGAAAUGCGUAGAUAUUAGGAGGAACACCAGUUGCGAAGGCGGCUCUCUGGACUGUAACUGACACUGAGGCACGAAAGCGUGGGGAGCAAACAGGAUUAGAUACCCUGGUAGUCCACGCCGUAAACGAUGAGUACUAGCUAU